UACGUAGGGACCAAGCGUUGUCCGGAAUCAUUGGGCGUAAAGAGCGUGUAGGCGGCCCGGUAAGUCCGCUGUGAAAGUCAAAGGCUCAACCUUUGAAUGUCAGCGGAUACUGCCGGGCUAGAGUCCGGAAGAGGCGAGUGGAACUCCUGGUGUAGCGGUGGAAUGCGCAGAUAUCAGGAAGAACACCCGUGGCGAAGGCGGCUCUCUGGUACGUGACUGACGCUGAGACGCGAAAGCGUGGGGAGCAAACAGG
rnacentral:rRNA from 1 species